CAAAGAGCCCGAGCGAGCGCGGCGCGGCCCGGCGGGGGCUCUGCCGAGCGCCUCCGGCUCGGGGCGGGGGAGGCGCCGUCCCCGGCAGCAGCGCGCCCCGGGUCGCCCCGGCCGGAGACCCUCGGAGCGACAGGGCCAGCCCCCCGCGGGCGCUCUCGGCCUGAUCCGGACCGCAGGGCUCGCGCGGAGAAGACAGCGGGUGUGCGCGUGGGGGUACGGGUCACUGCUCCCAGGGUGUGGGAAUGCGGGUGGUUGGCGGCCGCCCGCAGACGCGAGGGGACUCGCAGCCCCCGCCCCCGGAGGGUCCCUUUGUUCCUUUCCCAGAAUCGGCGGUGGUUUCGUGUAAAUCACCUGUUCCCAAUCCUGGCCGCCCCUCGGACCCUGUCCCGUCACCUCCCAGGAGCUUUCCCCAGGGCUCUGGCUCCCGGCCACUCCAGGGUCUCGAGACCAGGUGGCCUGGUUGCGGCCGGGCCAGCGCCGAGAACCGCUGGGCGGGCUGGGCCUUGGAAGCUCUUCCUUCGCCUUCGCCAGCAGAGGUCAAGGGCACAGCCCUCCGGUCCCAGCUCCACAAAGAAGCACUGCAUUCAAAGAGCGGCCCAAUCUCAAGCUGACCAGGACCACGGAAGGACAUACAACCAGAAAACGCCCGAGGCACUUUCUGCGCCGCCUGCGACCCAGGGCGCCCCCUCAUUUCAGCCGUCCCCGGCACGUCCCCUCCAGACUCGGGCUCCAGCACCCUCCCGCAGGAAGGGAAGACCUGUGCACGCGCGCGUGCUGUCUCCCAGAAACUGCCAGCUGCUACGAAGCCCCGGACGGGAGUGGGGGUGGAGGGGCGGGACCUGGGGACCACGGAGCUGCAGCUCCGCGCCUCGGGUCACGCGCCUAGGCCUCGCCGCGCUGCACCGCGCCGGUUUCCCGGUUGCGGGAGCCGGGUGGCUGGCGACUGCUCGCCCACGGGGCCACAGGAUCCCUCGCCUGAGCUGCAAUGCCAGUCCUGAGCUCCCCUAG
rnacentral:lncRNA from 1 species